CUCGUAGGUGGCCAACUAAGUCAGACGUGAAAUCCCUCGGCUUAACCGGGGAACUGCGUCUGAUACUGGAUGGCUUGAGGUUGGGAGAGGGAUGCGGAAUUCCAGGUGUAGCGGUGAAAUGCGUAGAUAUCUGGAGGAACACCGGUGGCGAAGGCGGCAUCCUGGACCAAUUCUGACGCUGAGGAGCGAAAGCAGGGGAGCAAACG
rnacentral:rRNA from 1 species